AACCUCGACCCUCGACACCCCUCCCCCCCCAAUCUCCCUGGCCCCUCCGGCUUCAACUUCGGCGACUACGACAUGGGCUGGGCCCGCCAGAGCCCCGGGAAGGGGCCGGAAUUCGUCGCCAGCAUCAGGAAGGACGGCGGGUUCAGCACCUACGCGCCGUGGGUGAAGGGCCGGUUCAGCAUCGCCAGGGACAACGGGCAGAGCUCGGUGACGCUGCAGAUGAACAACCUCAGGGACGAGGAUUCCGCCACCUAUUUCUGUGCCAAGAGCGUCUAUUCCGGCUACAACCGGGGCGGUGCCGGUGGGGUGGUCCAAAUGUCAGCCGCUGACCCCAAAAUCUGGGCCCUUGACCCCAAAUCUCAGCCCUUGACCCCAAAUCUCGGUAACUGA